rnacentral:rRNA from 1 species
UAAAAAUGUAAAAUAUUAAACUGAAUUAGUAUUAGUUAAGUUCUUGAAAAUUAAAAAUUUUGGCGGUAUUUUAGUCUAUUCAGAGGAACCUGUUCUGUAAUUGAUAAUCCACGAUUAAAAUUACUUAUUUUAAUUAGUUUGUAUAUCGUUGUAAUAAAAUAUUUUAUAAGAAUUAAAUAUUUAAAAUUUUUUAGGAAAAAGUAAAUCAAAUCAAGGUGCAGUUUAUAAAUAAGAAGAAAUGGGUUACAUUAAAUUAUAUUUUUGGAUAUUAAUUUUAAAAUUUAAUUGAAAUUGGAUUUGAUAGUAAUUUUAACUUUUUUGUUAAAAUGAUUUUGGCUCUAAAAUAUGC